AGAACGAACGCUGGCGGCAGGCUUAACACAUGCAAGUCGAGCGCCUCGCAAGAGGAGCGGCAGACGGGUGAGUAACGCGUGGGAACAUACCCUUCGGUUCGGAAUAAUUCAGGGAAACUUGGACUAAUACCGGAUACGGACGAGAGUCGAAAGAUUUAUCGCCGAAGGAUUGGCCCGCGUUCGAUUAGCUAGUUGGUGUGGUAACGGCGCACCAAGGCGACGAUCGAUAGCUGGUCUGAGAGGAUGAUCAGCCACAUUGGGACUGAGACACGGCCCAAACUCCUACGGGAGGCAGCAGUGGGGAAUAUUGGACAAUGGGCGCAAGCCUGAUCCAGCCAUGCCGCGUGAGUGAUGACGGCCUUAGGGUUGUAAAGCUCUUUCGCUAGGGACGAUAAUGACGGUACCUAGACAAGAAGCCCCGGCUAACUUCGUGCCAGCAGCCGC
rnacentral:rRNA from 1 species